CUGGGGAAACUCCAGGCCACCUGCACAUCCUGGCCCAGGCUGGGAAGGGUGUCGGCCCCUCCUCCUCUGUGCCCCCUCCUCCCAGAAGUCCACCAUGGAGAGCAAGGAUGAGGUCAGCGACACCGACAGCGGCAUCAUCCUGCAGUCCGGCCCCGACAGCCCGGUGGCCCCCGUGAAGGAGCUGACCCACGCGGUGCGCAAGCAGCAGAGGGCCCUGGAGGAGCGGCUGGAGGCCUGCCUGCAGGAGCUGAGGCGGCUCUGCCUGCGGGAAGCGGAGCUGACGGGCAUCUUGCCCGCAGAGUACCCCUUCAGACUGGGGGAGAAGGCCCCCAAAGUCCGCCGCAGGAUCGGAGCCGCUUACAAGCUGGACGAGUGGGCCUUGCACAGAGAGGACCCACUGAGCAGCCUGGAGCGGGAGCUGGCCCUGCAGCUGCAGAUCGCCGAGGCGGCGCGGCGCCUGUGCCGGGAGGGGAACCUGGGCCGCCAGGCGCGCCAGCAGCGGAAGCACGCGGUGCAGCAGGAGGAGACGAAGCUGCGGGAGCUGCAGCGCUGCCUGGGGGAGUGGCAGCGAGGCAGCGGGGCCCCUCCCGCCCUGGCCCCAGGCCCAGAGCUCGGCGCCUCAGACGACAGCUCCCUGUUGGACGGGCUGCUCCGUGAGGAAGAGGCAUCUCAAGUGCCAAAACCUCCCCCAGAGUCCCCAGAUGCGCCUUCCCGGCCUCUCCCGCCCCAAAGCCUCGAGGGGCUGCAGCCAGCAGGCCUUGACACGGGGGGCCUGGAGAGGGCCCCCAUCCAGAACAGCCCCUGGAAGGAGACAAGCCUGGACCACCCCUACGAGAAGCCCAGGAAGUCUUCCGAGCCCGGAAGCGAGUCCAGCAGCCCGGCCAGCACCCCGCAGGAUGGGCCCAGCGCCUCCAGCCCUGCCUCCUGCUACGUGGUCGCCGUCCGCAACGUUCCUGGGCAGCGGCAGGGCCGCACCAGUGCCCCGGCCACCCCUGAGAUGCAGGGCAGGAGGGGCCAGUCACAGCCCCUGAGGACCGACCCCUUACGCGCGGGCCCCGACGGCAGGGGUCGCAGCGCCAUCCCGCGGCGCCGCCCCACUUACUACACGGUGACUGCACCCGCGCCCGUGCCGUGCCCCGCCUGCCACUCGUGCUCCGAGGACAGCGGCUCCGACGCCUCCAGCCUGUCACACCCGACGCCGCCCGGCAGCAGCAGCCCCGACAUCUCCUUCCUGCGGCCCCUGUCCCCGCCCGCGCCGCCCCGCCCGCGCGUGCCCCGCGGCCCCCGACUCCGGCCGCCCCCCGCCUGCCUGAGGGCCGCGCGCUACCUGGUGCUGGCCGAGGGCCGCCCGCCGCCCGGCCAGUGGGGCGAGUGGGGCCCGGGCCGCGGCGAGGACGCGGCCGCCCCGCGCUGGCAGCGCCCACUGCCCGCCCACGGCCGCGUGGCCCGGACGCCCUCGCUGCGCGACAGCCCCGCGGGCCGCGGGCUCAGCAAGGCGGCCGUGUCUGAGGAGCUCAAGUCGUGGCACGAGCGGGCCCGGCUCCGGAGCUCGCGCCCCCACUCGCUGGACCGCCAGGGGGCUUUCCGCGUGCGCAGCCUGCCGCCUGGCGCCGAGAGCUUCGCGCGCACGCAGUUUCCCGACCAGGGAUCGGACCCACGCCCCCUGCGUUGGGAGCACUGAGUCUUAACCACUGGACCGCCAGGGAAGUGCUGAGUGAGCCUUUCUUUGUUCUUGCUCCCUGGUACGGAGGGCUCUGCAGCGGGUGUGCUCCAGAAGUCCCCAACAGGCUGCUUCUUUGAGAUCCAAGAUUCUGGCAGGGCCCAGCUGCACCUCCCUCCCCCACCCCCGGUUCUCUGGGCUGCAGCUGGCAUCCUGGGCCUGGCAGCACCCUGGCCGCAGUCCCAGGCCUCACCCUCCAACUGACGUGCCUUUCCAUGCCUGCGAGCUUGGACCUGUCCUUGGCCCGGGCCCAGCCCAUCCCAACCUGCCAGACGGGGAGGGUGAUGAGAAGUGCCCACCGUGUGUGUGCUCCGGAGAUCGCCUGAGGGGGCCCCCGUGCAAGUGUUUGUACCUGAGAAUGGAGAGAUCAUCAGCCAGGUGUGACCCUGGGCUCCGGACACCGCGGCCGGCUGGCCGAAGAGACUGCUUCCCAGCGGGGCUGGGGCUGAGACCGCCCACCCUUGAAGCCCUCUUUGGCUCCCCUCCCCCAUCGCAGGUCGAUGACCUGGAGCUGAGACUUUUCUUUUUUUUUUUUACCAGUUUUUGUUCAGAAGCUCUGGCCUAAGGAUUUAUAUUUGUGGUUUGUCCCCAAGAUCCCUGUAAUAUGACAAUGCUUUAUUCCCCAGAGACAGGCCUAGCGGACUCGAGGCCUUGCCUCUGACUAACAGCAUCUGUCUCCGUGUGCAAGACGUGUGGUAGGGGACGCAUCCCCAGAGAACAGCCCCUGGCCCUCCUGCCCCACUGCUGCUGGGGGCUGCACCUCCAUCCCCCAUUUCCCAGCUCUCAGGCUGUAGGGGUGCCCGGCCUGGGGGCGAGUCCUCCCCUAUAUAAUGUGCUCUGUGAUGCACGCACCGAGAGCUAGGUUAAAGGUCAGUGUGUCCUGGCAGAGUCUUGUCUUCCUGGGCCCUGCUCUUUUCCUCACCCCGUGACUUCCUUGUAGGGACCCCUGUCACUCUGUGUGCCCUUGUCCUGAGGCUCCCAGCAUCGACCCAGACCCAGGAGCCUUGGGUUGGAGGCCUCUCGAGACUGGAGCAUCAGGAGGCCCUGGCUGGGAGCUGAUCACCUUCUCUGGGCCUCUUGAGGGCUUGCAGGCCACCACCCUGCUUCCUCUGGUGUCUUUUCGUCAUCAUCCUAAAAACUAGUACUUUACACGUGCUUUUGGAAGGGCGCCCUCUGUGGCGUGUUCCCAGGGCCAGGGGUGUCAUUGCUCCUUCUCCCCACUCAGCUGUGCUUCUGCCCUGAGACCGGAUUUCCUUGAAGGAGGGCAAGUCCUUGAUUUUACAGACGUGGGGACACCUGCCUUGCAGGGUGUUAAUGAAUCACCCUAGUGCUGAGACUUGAGGCCUGGAAACUGGCCAUGCUAAGACCGUCUGUGGUCCCGGGAUCUCAUCCUUGGGCCUUUGCUGCCGGGUCAGAUCCCGAAAUAGGGAUCCUGCUCCCAGGAGAGAGCCGCUGAGCUGAGGCCGGGAGGGCUGGACGCACCAAGCGCUGAUCUUGCCCACAUGGCGCCCUCUGUCUGUAGGACGGGGGCUACACAGACAGCUCGAGGCUCUAAGAACUUUGAGGCCUGACCCGGACAAGGCACAGUUCUCCCACUGCCCGGGGCGGGGGGGCCCGGCCGAGGGGUCGGGAGCAAGGAGGGGCCUGAGGGGAAGCCUGCAUCUCUGUGCUCCUCCCGGCCCACAGCAUCCUGGCUCUGGGUCCACCUGCCCCAUCGUGUUGACUUUGGACACUGUUCCGUUGCGGUUGGCGUCUGAGCCCGUUGCCCUCGUGCACAGCCUCUGCCUCCUGCCCCCCCGGGUCCUCCCGGAGCGCAGGGCUCCUCGGGCCAGCGCCCUCCACGCCUGCAAGUCCUUCGCAUUAACUUACCGGUCCUGUGUGAUGCCUGGUGCACCUGAGAAGUGGCUGUGUCCUCGGCUGCGGGGCCGGAGCGGUGGGGUUUCCAUGCCAGAUACUCCAAUAAAGUCUGUCUUUGUGAG